rnacentral:rRNA from 1 species
AUACGGAGGGUGCAAGCGUUGUUCGGAAUCACUGGGCGUAAAGGGCGCGCAGGCGGUUUGGUAAGUCAGAUGUGAAAGCCCACGGCUCAACCGUGGAAGUGCAUUUGAAACUGCCAGACUUGAGUACCAGAGGGGAAAGUGGAAUUCCCGGUGUAGAGGUGAAAUUCGUAGAUAUCGGGAGGAAUGCCGGUGGCGAAGGCGACUUUCUGGCUGGAUACUGACGCUGAGGCGCGAAAGCGUGGGGAGCAAACAGGAUUAGAAACCCCAGUAGUCC